AGGACCGGGAUGGACAUACCGAUGGUGUACCAGUUGCAAACCGAUUGCACAGCUGGGUAGCUAAGUAUGGAACGGAUAAACGCUGAAGGCAUCUAAGCGUGAAGCCGCCCUCAAGACGAGAUUUCCCAUUGUGAGAGCAAGUAAGGUUCCUUGAAGACGACAAGGUAGAUAGGUUGGGGGUGUAAGUACGGUAACGUAUUGAGCUGACCAAUACUAAUAAACCGAGGGCUUGACCUA
rnacentral:rRNA from 1 species